GACGAACGCUGGCGGCGUGCUUAACACAUGCAAGUCGAACGGACAGGUCCUGCUUUUGUGGGGUGCUCGAGUGGCGAACGGGUGAGUAACACGUGAGUAACCUGCCCUUGACUUUGGGAUAACUUCAGGAAACUGGGGCUCAUACCGGAUAGGAGAUCCUGCUGCAUGGUGGGGGUUGGAAAGUUUCGGCGGUUGGGGAUAGACUCGCGGGUUACGCGCUUGUUGGGGGGGUUGUGGCUUACGAAGGCUUUGACGGGUAGCCGACCUGAGAGGGUGACCGGCCACAUUGGUACUGAGAUACGGCCCAGACUCCAACGGGAGGCAGCAGGGGGGAAUAUUGCACAAUGGGCGAAAGCCUGAUGCAGCAGCGCCGCAUGCGGGAUAACGGCCUUCGGGUUGUAAACCGCUGUCGCCUGUGACGAAGCGUUAGUGACGGUAAUGGGUAAAGAAGCACCGGCUAACUACGUG
rnacentral:rRNA from 1 species